AUGGAAACCGCAUCCCAUUUUCUUUGUUGUUGCAAAGAUAACUUGCCUUUCAAAUUACUAGGGAUACAUGUUGGAUCAAAUCCUAGAAGAUGCGCCUCUUCGAAUCCGAUGCUGGAUAAUCUGAAGAAAAAAUUGUCAACUUGGAAAGCUCGUCUCUUAUCAAUUGGUGGAAGGGUAACACUGUUGUACUCGAUACUCUCAAGCAUCCCAAUUUACAAUAUGUCCUUAUUCAAGGCUCCAGUUAAUAUCAUAUACGAGAUAAUCAAAAUUUAG